rnacentral:rRNA from 1 species
GACGGAGGGUGCAAGCGUUGCUCGGAAUCAUUGGGCGUAAAGGGUGCGUAGGCGGUCUUCUAAGUCUGACGUGAAAGCCCAAGGCUCAGCCUUGGAAGUGCGUUAGAAACUGGGAGACUAGAGUACCGGAGGGGAGAGUGGAAUUCCUGGUGUAGCGGUGAAAUGCGUAGAUAUCAGGAGGAAUACCGGUGGCGAAAGCGACUCUCUGGACGGUAACUGACGCUGAGGCACGAAAGCGUGGGGAGCAAAC